GUCUAUGGCCAUGCUACCCUGAAUGUGCCCAACAUUGUCUGAUCUCGGAAGCUAAGAUAAGAAGGGUCAGGCCUGGUUAGUACUUGGAUGGGAGACCACCUAGGAAUACCAGGUGCUGUAGGUG
rnacentral:rRNA from 1 species